rnacentral:rRNA from 1 species
ACUAAGCAUAUCAAUAAGCGGAGGAAAAAGAAACCAACAGGGAUUGCCUAGUACGGCGAGUGAAGCGGCAACAGCUCAAUUUGAAAUCUGGCCUCGGCCCGAGUUGUAAUUUGCAGAGGAUGAUUUUGGCGCGGUGCCUUCCGAGUUCCCUGGAACGGGACGCCACAGAGGGUGAGAGCCCCGUAUGGUCGGACACCAAGCCUUUGUAAAUCUCCUUCGACGAGUCGAGUAGUUUGGGAAUGCUGCUCAAAAUGGGAGGUAAAUCUCUUCUAAAGCUAAAUAUUGGCCAGAGACCGAUAGCGCACAAGUAGAGUGAUCGAAAGAUGAAAAGCACCUUGAAAAGGGGGUUAAACAGUACGUGAAAUUGUUGAAAGGGAAGGGCUCGUGACCAGACUUGUGCCAGGCGGCUCAUCCGGCGUUCUCGCCGGUGCACUCCGCCUGGCUCAGGCCAGCAUCGGUUCUUGCCGGGGGAUAAGAGCUUCGGGAACGUGGCCCCCUUCGGGGGGUGUUAUAGCCCGUUGCACGAUGCCCUGGCGGGGACCGAGGUUCGCGCUCCGCAAGGAUGCUGGCGUAAUGGUCACCAACCACCCGUCUUGAAACACGGACCAAGGAGUCGUCCAUCAGAGCGAGCGUUUGGGUGUAAAACCCGCACGCGUAAUGAAAGUGAACGCAGGUGAGAGCUUCGGCGCAUCAUCGACCGAUCCUGAUGUAUUCGGAUGGAUUUGAGUAAGAGUUUUGCUGGACGGACCCGAAAGACAGUGAACUAUGCUUGUAUAGGGUGAAGCCAGAGGAAACUCUGGUGGAGGCUCGCAGCGGUUCUGACGUGCAAAUCGAUCGUCAAAUAUGAGCAUGGGGGCGAAAGACUAAUCGAACUGUCUAGUAGCUGGUUACCGCCGAAGUUUCCCUCAGGAA